rnacentral:rRNA from 1 species
GCAGCCGCCGCGGGAAUACGGAGGGUGCAAGCGUUAAUCGGAAUUACUGGGCGUAAAGCGCACGCAGGCGGUCUGACAAGUCAGAUGUGAAAUCCCCGGGCUUAACCUGGGAACUGCAUUUGAAACUGUCAGGCUGGAGUCUUGUAGAGGGGGGUGGAAUUCCAGGUGUAGCGGUGAAAUGCGUAGAGAUCUGGAGGAAUACCGGUGGCGAAGGCGGCCCCCUGGACAAAGACUGACGCUCAGGUGCGAAAGCGUGGGGAGCAAACAGGAUUAGAUACCCGCGUAGUCCCUGUCUCUUAUCA